GUGCCAGCAGCCGCGGUAAAACGUAGGUGGCAAGCGUUAUCCGGAUUUACUGGGCGUAAAGCGUGUGCAGGCGGCCCGUCAAGUGGUGUAUGAAAUCGCCCGGCUCAACCGGGUGGGGUUAUGCCAGACUGGCGGGCUAGAGUCUGAAAGAGGGGGGUGGAAUUCCGGGUGUAGUGGUGAAAUGCGUAGAGAUCCGGAGGAACCCCAGAGGCGAAGGCGGCCCCCUGGUUCAGGACUGACGCUCAGACACGACAGCAUGGGGAGCGAACGGGAUUAGAAACCCUCGUAGUCC
rnacentral:rRNA from 1 species